rnacentral:rRNA from 1 species
UACAGAGGGGGGCAAGCGUUGUUCGGAAUUACUGGGCGUAAAGGGCGCGUAGGCGGCCUUCUAAGUCGAACGUGAAAUCCCUGGGCUCAACCCAGGAACUGCGUCCGAUACUGGAAGGCUUGAAUCCGGGAGAGGGAUGCGGAAUUCCAGGUGUAGCGGUGAAAUGCGUAGAUAUCUGGAGGAACACCGGUGGCGAAGGCGGCAUCCUGGACCGGUAUUGACGCUGAGGCGCGAAAGCCAGGGGAGCAAACGGG